GAGGGGCUGUUGAAAAGACUGGUCAACCCACCAGAUCUGUUUGACAAUAUACACACAACAUCAACAACCCCUCCCCAAACCCUCUCCUUCAUCAAAAUUGAUUGAAAGCCUACCUUCGUCUUUUGGGAGAUCGACUCCGCCUACAAAGAGGAGGAAGAGAGCCUAGGGUAUAAUCCUCAAAAUCUCCCUUGAAAAGGUCAAGGACUAGAGCCUUACCUUCUGGGAGACCGACUCCUACUCCUCCUGUAGCGCAACGUUGGAGAGCGACGGGGCUUGUCCAAGUCUCUGUAGCUUCUGCGGCGGUGGUCAGGUGAUGGUACUCUUUCCAACUGGAAACGAGAUAGAUGGGAGGAUUUCAGAUUAAAAUGCUGAAAAAAUGGAAAAUUAGAAUAUAUCACCGUUUUACAACACCUAAUGGAUCUAGGCAUUGAUCCUAACAUCAAAAAAGGUGAGACAAUUCCAGAGACUUGGGAGGCUGAAGAUGGAGGACGGACUGCAUGUUUGAGGCCAGCUGUAGCAAUUUAGCAAGACCCUCUCUCUCAGAAUAAACAAAAAAUGAAACAAGACAGACUUUAUGCUUAUGAAAUAGUGCUGCUCCACUUCAAAGGAGAUAAACCCCCCCAAAUCUGAUUAAGCCUCAAGAUUUAAUAACUAAUGGGAAUGAUACAAAGGGCACAGGAAAAUGUUAGUAACAUCACAGAUAAAAAUCAGAAAAACAGACUGUAAAUUUGUGUAGGAUAAAUGAUCUGAUAAUAAUAAUAUCACAAAAAUGUACGAUAAAACAGUGAAAGAUGGAACUUACAGACUUAAAGAUGCUUUAAGAGUCAUAAAAACCAACUAUGAUGGGGAUGGGGCUGAGCGGUGGCACAGUUGCCUGGCAUGUGUGAAGCAGAGGACUUGAUUCUCAACAUGGUGUAUCUAUCAACAACUAAAAAAAAAAAUUAAAAAAAAAAACCAAAACAACUAUGAUGUAUGGACACUGAACACUUACUCAAUUAAACUUAAAAAAUACAGGAUAGGGCUGGGGUUGUGGCUCAAGUGGUAGAGCACUACACUAGCAUGU